rnacentral:lncRNA from 1 species
ACCUUAUAUGGAUAUAAGUAUAUACAUGAAUUAGCUUACUUAAGUCCUCGCAUGUGUAACUGUUUAUUUAAGUGUGCUUCAAUGCAAAGAAUUGCUAUAUACUUAGCAUCAAGAACAAAAGCCAGAAGAUGUACAGCCUAGACGGACAUGUACUACAACAAGUCCAACACAACCCAUAUCUAGGAUUACAAAUAUCAGAAGACCUAAAAUGGACCACGCACAUCUCAAAUGUAGCCAAGAAAGCCAAUUCGACACUCGGCUUUCUGAGGAGAAAUCUACGCUUCUGCCCAAAAGAUUGCAAAAAGACCGCAUAUAUAUCAUUAGUACGAUCAACUAUGGAAUAUGGUGCCAUAAUAUGGGACCCAUAUACACAACAUGAUAUAAAUCAAUUAGAAAGAAUACAACGCAGAGCAGCUAGAUUCAUUACAGGCGACUAUAGGACUAGAGAAGAGGGGUCAGUCACCAAAAUGCUAGCCGAGUUAGAACUAGACAAUCUACAAACGAGAAGAACAAGUCAAAGGCUGGUAUUUCUGUACAAAGUGGUUGAGGGGUUGGUCCCAGCUAUUAAUCCCGACGAUUUUCUUGCAAAAAGUAAACCUAAGAGGAAAAUCAAACCCAAAACAUUUGACAAUUUUGUAAGUGCCAAUAUAGUGACAAAUUCAGUGAAGAACAAUUCUAAGGCACUAGAAACUAUUCCUAGCAACACCGAUCCAUAUAAGAACUCUUUCUUCGUCAAGAGUAUCCGACACUGGAACCAACUGGAAGACCGUAUUGUAUGCGCAGAUACAGUUGAGAGCUUCAAGGCUGCUCUUCAACACCGCCAAUAGGUCUCUCUCUCUCCCGUUGAGUAAAAGCCAGAAUUGGUAUCUUCAACGUAUACAUACAGAUACAUUUACAGGUGUGACAUCAUUUUUGUUCCUGUUUUAUUUUACCAAUCCACUUUAUAAUGCGUAACCGUGCAUGAUGGACAACUACGGCUAUUAACUCAUCCGAGAAC